AACGAACGCUUGCGGCGCGCCUAAUACAUGCAAGUCGAACGACGUAGCAAUACGGAGUGGCGCACGGGUGAGUAACGCGUGGAUAAUCUGCCUUUCAGUGGGGAAUAACUAUCCGAAAGGAUAGCUAACACCGCAUGAGACCACAGGGCCUGAGGGCCUAGGGGUUAAAAUUUAUUGCUGAAAGAUGAGUCUGCGUGGGAUUAGCUAGUUGGUGGGGUAAUGGCCUACCAAGGCAACGAUCCCUAGCUGGUCUGAGAGGAUGGCCAGCCACACUGGAACUGAGACACGGUCCAGACUCCUACGGGAGGCAGCAGUUAGGGAAUAUUGCGCAAUGGGCGAAAGCCUGACGCAGCGACGCCGCGUGAGUGAUGAAGGCCUUUAGGGUCGUAAAAGCUCUGUUGGAUGGGGAAAGAAAAAAAAUGACGGGUACCAUUCGAGAAAGGACCGGCUAACUUCGUGCCAGCAGCCGCGGUAAU
rnacentral:rRNA from 1 species